ensembl:ncRNA B0034.13 ncRNA
UUUGUUGAUGUUCGCUUUUAUGAGUGAAUGACUUUUUUACAGCUCUUCGAAGCUCCGGAUUGCACAGCUGAAAUGAAAAAAAGUAUGAGUUGAUUU